GAUGAACGCUGGCGGCGUGCCUAACACAUGCAAGUCGAGCGAUUUACUUCGGUAAGGAGCGGCGGACGGGUGAGUAACGCGUGGGUAACCUGCCCUGUACACACGGAUAACAUGCCGAAAGGUAUGCUAAUAAGAGAUAAAAUGCUUUUAUCGCAUGGUAGAAGUAUCAAAGCUUUGGCGGUACAGGAUGGACCCGCGUCUGAUUAGCUAGUUGGUAAGGUAACGGCUUACCAAGGCGACGAUCAGUAGCCGACCUGAGAGGGUGAUCGGCCACAUUGGAACUGAGACACGGUCCAAACUCCUACGGGAGGCAGCAGUGGGGAAUAUUGCACAAUGGGCGAAAGCCUGAUGCAGCAACGCCGCGUGAGCGAUGAAGGCCUUCGGGUCGUAAAGCUCUGUCCUCAAGGAAGAUAAUGACGGUACUUGAGGAGGAAGCCCCGGCUAACUACGUGCCAGCAGCCGCCGUAAGAC
rnacentral:rRNA from 1 species